rnacentral:tRNA from 1 species
GGCUUGUGGCUCAGUGGUGGAGCAUUCGCCUAUCAUGUGUGAGACCCUGGGUUCGAUCCUCAGCACCA